CAGCCAGGCCAGACGAUCGCUGUCGGCGGGAACCACGCGGGCGGUCAUUCGCGCGCGUGUAGUGCCGCCGGGAGAGGAAAGUCCGAACUCCAAAGGGCAGUGCGCCGGGUAACGCCCGGGCAGGGUAACUUGACGGACCAGUGGCACAGAAAAUAUACCGCCCGCCUUCGCACGCUUCGCGUGCUUCGGCGCGGCAGGCCCACAAGGCUUGCUUCGCCGGAGCCCGGAGGGCGAAGGCGAGUAAGGGUGAAAAGGUGCGGUAAGAGCGCACCGCGCCGGCCGUAAGGUCGGUGGCAGGCAAAACCCCGCACGGAGCAAGACCAAAUAGGGAGGCGCUCGAGGACGGCCCGUCCGAAGCCUCCGGGUAGGUCGCUGGACCCUGUCAGUGAUGGCAGGGCAAGAGGAAUGGUCGUCUCGCCGUAGCCCGCCGUCGCGCGAGCGCAUGCUCGCGCUAUGGCGGGCGAAGGCGGACAGAAUUCGGCUUAUCGGCGUGGCUGCGGC
rnacentral:RNase_P_RNA from 1 species